rnacentral:rRNA from 1 species
UUAAGUUAUUAAGGGCGCACGGUGGAUGCCUUGGCACUAGAAGCCGAUGAAGGACGUUACUAACGACGAUAUGCUUUGGGGAGCUGUAAGUAAGCUUUGAUCCAGAGAUUUCCGAAUGGGGAAACCCAGCAUGAGUUAUGUCAUGUUAUCGAUAUGUGAAUACAUAGCAUAUCAGAAGGCACACCCGGAGAACUGAAACAUCUUAGUACCCGGAGGAAGAGAAAGAAAAUUCGAUUCCCUUAGUAGCGGCGAGCGAAACGGGAAGAGCCCAAACCAACAAGCUUGCUUGUUGGGGUUGUAGGACACUCUAUACGGAGUUACAAAGGACGACAUUAGACGAAUCAUCUGGAAAGAUGAAUCAAAGAAGGUAAUAAUCCUGUAGUCGAAAAUGUUGUCUCUCUUGAGUGGAUCCUGAGUACGACGGAGCACGUGAAAUUCCGUCGGAAUCUGGGAGGACCAUCUCCUAAGGCUAAAUACUCUCUAGUGACCGAUAGUGAACCAGUACCGUGAGGGAAAGGUGAAAAGCACCCCGGAAGGGGAGUGAAAUAGAACCUGAAACCGUGUGCUUACAAGUAGUCAGAGCCCGUUAAUGGGUGAUGGCGUGCCUUUUGUAGAAUGAACCGGCGAGUUACGAUUUGAUGCAAGGUUAAGCAGUAAAUGUGGAGCCGUAGCGAAAGCGAGUCUGAAUAGGGCGUUUAGUAUUUGGUCGUAGACCCGAAACCAGGUGAUCUACCCUUGGUCAGGUUGAAGUUCAGGUAACACUGAAUGGAGGACCGAACCGACUUACGUUGAAAAGUGAGCGGAUGAACUGAGGGUAGCGGAGAAAUUCCAAUCGAACCUGGAGAUAGCUGGUUCUCUCCGAAAUAGCUUUAGGGCUAGCCUCAAGUGAUGAUUAUUGGAGGUAGAGCACUGUUUGGACGAGGGGCCCGUCUCGGGUUACCGAAUUCAGACAAACUCCGAAUGCCAAUUAAUUUAACUUGGGAGUCAGAACAUGGGUGAUAAGGUCCGUGUUCGAAAGGGAAACAGCCCAGACCACCAGCUAAGGUCCCAAAAUAUAUGUUAAGUGGAAAAGGAUGUGGCGUUGCCCAGACAACUAGGAUGUUGGCUUAGAAGCAGCCAUCAUUUAAAGAGUGCGUAAUAGCUCACUAGUCGAGUGACACUGCGCCGAAAAUGUACCGGGGCUAAACAUAUUACCGAAGCUGUGGAUUGUCCUUUGGACAAUGGUAGGAGAGCGUUCUAAGGGCGUUGAAGCAUGAUCGUAAGGACAUGUGGAGCGCUUAGAAGUGAGAAUGCCGGUGUGAGUAGCGAAAGACGGGUGAGAAUCCCGUCCACCGAUUGAAUAAGGUUUCCAGAGGAAGGCUCGUCCGCUCUGGGUUAGUCGGGUCCUAAGCUGAGGCCGACAGGCGUAGGCGAUGGAUAACAGGUUGAUAUUCCUGUACCACCUAUAAUCGUUUUAAUCGAUGGGGGGACGCAGUAGGAUAGGCGAAGCGUGCGAUUGGAUUGCACGUCUAAGCAGUAAGGCUGAGUAUUAGGCAAAUCCGGUACUCGUUAAGGCUGAGCUGUGAUGGGGAGAAGACAUUGAGUCUUCGAGUCGUUGAUUUCACACUGCCGAGAAAAGCCUCUAGAUAGAAAAUAGGUGCCCGUACCGCAAACCGACACAGGUAGUCAAGAUGAGAAUUCUAAGGUGAGCGAGCGAACUCUCGUUAAGGAACUCGGCAAAAUGACCCCGUAACUUCGGGAGAAGGGGUGCUCUUUAGGGUUAACGCCCAGAAGAGCCGCAGUGAAUAGGCCCAAGCGACUGUUUAUCAAAAACACAGGUCUCUGCUAAACCGUAAGGUGAUGUAUAGGGGCUGACGCCUGCCCGGUGCUGGAAGGUUAAGAGGAGUGGUUAGCUUCUGCGAAGCUACGAAUCGAAGCCCCAGUAAACGGCGGCCGUAACUAUAACGGUCCUAAGGUAGCGAAAUUCCUUGUCGGGUAAGUUCCGACCCGCACGAAAGGCGUAACGAUUUGGGCACUGUCUCAACGAGAGACUCGGUGAAAUCAUAGUACCUGUGAAGAUGCAGGUUACCCGCGACAGGACGGAAAGACCCCGUGGAGCUUUACUGUAGCCUGAUAUUGAAAUUCGGCACAGCUUGUACAGGAUAGGUAGGAGCCUUUGAAACGUGAGCGCUAGCUUACGUGGAGGCGCUGGUGGGAUACUACCCUAGCUGUGUUGGCUUUCUAACCCGCACCACUUAUCGUGGUGGGAGACAGUGUCAGGCGGGCAGUUUGACUGGGGCGGUCGCCUCCUAAAAGGUAACGGAGGCGCUCAAAGGUUCCCUCAGAAUGGUUGGAAAUCAUUCAUAGAGUGUAAAGGCAUAAGGGAGCUUGACUGCGAGACCUACAAGUCGAGCAGGGUCGAAAGACGGACUUAGUGAUCCGGUGGUUCCGCAUGGAAGGGCCAUCGCUCAACGGAUAAAAGCUACCCCGGGGAUAACAGGCUUAUCUCCCCCAAGAGUUCACAUCGACGGGGAGGUUUGGCACCUCGAUGUCGGCUCAUCGCAUCCUGGGGCUGUAGUCGGUCCCAAGGGUUGGGCUGUUCGCCCAUUAAAGCGGUACGCGAGCUGGGUUCAGAACGUCGUGAGACAGUUCGGUCCCUAUCCGUCGUGGGCGUAGGAAAUUUGAGAGGAGCUGUCCUUAGUACGAGAGGACCGGGAUGGACAUACCUCUGGUGUACCAGUUGUCGUGCCAACGGCAUAGCUGGGUAGCUAUGUGUGGACGGGAUAAGUGCUGAAAGCAUCUAAGCAUGAAGCCCCCCUCAAGAUGAGAUUUCCCAACUUCGGUUAUAAGAUCCCUCAAAGAUGAUGAGGUUAAUAGGUUCGAGGUGGAAGCAUGGUGACAUGUGGAGCUGACGAAUACUAAUCGAUCGAAGACUUAAUCAA